rnacentral:misc_RNA from 1 species
GGAAGCCUAUGAGACCUGCAACACUAGUAGCACCAUCCAAGUUUGGUCUACAAGUCCUGGAAAGAUCUUAAUCAAUUCUACUGGUGAUUAUUUCUUCACUUCCACCUAUCCACGCCACUGCAUCUUGGGUCAGCAGUUAGCCAUUAGGGUGGUCUCCAGCAGCGGUACUACUGAUCAUGGUACUGCACCUUCUUCUAGCAUCGCCG